UUGGAACUGACCUGAAAACCUUUUCCCUGCUGGCCAGUUUUCAUGAUGCUGGAGGGCACCAUGCAGUCCCAGUAAGGAGGAAAAGUCAUCUGUGGACUUAGCCAGCAGUGGAUCCUGCGAAUCACCCACCAGUCCUUGUGCCUCCUCAACACAAACUACUGGCUGCAAACCCCUGGACAGCGCUGUCUGUUGACUCAGCCACCACAAUGAGCCCCCUCAGGUGCGUGAGAGCAGACGGCCUGCGUGCAGCAACACGGCUGUGGAGACUUACUGUUGUCAUCUCAUCCACGGUCCCAGCAACCUCACGCCUCUGCAGGUCUCGUGUGGCCUGUCACAGAUGGGAUCUGCUUCUGCCCUGGCCUCCCACUUACUGAAGCCCACACAAGCCUCUUGGAACACGCAUGAGUCAAGGGGCUUCAGAAAUGGAAAGACAGAAAAUUCCACAAUUGAAACCAGAAGGAAACAACCAGGAGCUGGUUGCCAAGCCCUGUCCUUCCUCAUCCUUAUCUAUCCUCCCUCCCUCCACCCCCUCCAGAUAUCAAGCUAAAGGGUCAGAGCUAGCAGUCUUCUCUAUGGAACUUGCCAAGAGGAUGUUUCCGUUAGCUUUCUGACUCCUAGCUCUCCGUCCAUCUUGAAGCUUAAGGAGCCAAGGACAUCGAAGCCACAGCCUCACAGGUCCCUUCACCCCCUCGGCACCACAGCUGCCAACUUAGGAUAUCUGAUGUCUGACCCCUGUGAAAGAAUUGUUCAACCCCCAAAUGAGUUUUGAUCCACGGGUUGAGAACCACUGCCUUCACAGAAGUAGAGCAAGACCAGAGAGAACCCUGGGAGUAGUUGUAAGCUGCCAUGUGGGCACUGCUCCCCGAAAGAGCGGUCAUAUCCAGAAAAGAUACUCCCAAGAAUGGCUCUCAGGGAAGAUACUACAGUUUAAUUGCCUACAUGAAGGAAGAGGCAAUUACAGCAGAGCUAUUGGAGUUUCGGCUUUUAGGUGGUGAACGUGUCGGCUUAGCGAAGCUGCAGUACCAGGUCCUGCCACGAGAGGACACGGAGCCGCCGGACACCCCCUCUUCAAUCAAAUCUGCAAGAGGUCAAAGGCGCCCCCUCCUCUAAGCUGAGUCUGCAUCUGCGCGCGCAGCUGGAAGUCCUCCGCAAUCCUCACCUCCAAACGGGCUCCUUUUUCCUCCGAAAGGUGAUCUGGAAGUACCCGGAGGUCUUAAGUGAUUAAUGAUUGCCAGUCAUAACGGACGGCAGCGUUUAAAGGCAGAAGAGCACUAAUAGAAAUGUUGUUUACUCUUUCUAACUCAUCCCAAACUUGCUCCUUAGUUCUUUUGCCAAUUAUAAAAAGCCACCUAGGCAGCGUCCACAUACCUCAGCACACAGCCUUGGAGGGCCAGAGUCCCUACCUCAGCACUCUGCCAAUGUCAUGUUUUAAGGAGCAAUUCUUCCUACCCAGGCAUCUGGCUCAGGAGGCAGUCCGCUCGAAGCGUGCUUUUCUGUCAUUAAUCUCAUCUUUGUUACGUGAUAUCCACGUGAGUCCUUUUUAGUGGAAGCAGCUUCAGGCUCAAGCGCUCAAAGAACACUGGAAUAAAGCUUCGAUUGUCCUAUUCAA